UAAGGAAUAUUGGUCAAUGGACGCAAGUCUGAACCAGCCAUGCCGCGUGAAGGAUGAAGGUCCUCUGGAUUGUAAACUUCUUUUAUCUGGGACGAAAACGGGAUUUUUAUCUCAAUUGACGGUACCAGAGGAAUAAGCACCGGCUAACUCCGUGCCAGCAGCCGCGGUAAUACGGAGGGUGCGAGCGUUAUCCGGAUUUACUGGGUUUAAAGGGUGCGUAGGUGGGCUUAUAAGUCAGUGGUGAAAUCUCCGAGCUUAACUUGGAAACUGCCGUUGAUACUAUAGGUCUUGAAUUAUCUGGAGGUAAGCGGAAUAUGUCAUGUAGCGGUGAAAUGCUUAGAUAUGACAUAGAACACCAAUUGCGAAGGCAGCUUACUACAUAUAAAUUGACGCUGAGGCACG
rnacentral:rRNA from 1 species